rnacentral:misc_RNA from 1 species
AGGAUUGGAGAAGCAACCCAAACUUUUGGAUGGUGACGGUAAUGAUUCCAUGCCAAAGCUGGAAGUUGGAGGGGUUGAUUCUUCAAUUUCUGUCCCAGUUAGGGCUGACAAGUCUGAUGCCUGUGUGACAUUGUCAAUGGAAGAAGCUAAAAACCCUGAUCAGCCUUUUGGUGUUUCUAUGGAAGCUGAAACCUUUAAAACAAUGGGUGGAGGAGGAAAACAAGUUUCUGUGAAUGAAAUUCCAGUGGAUGGCGAAAAGAGUG